UUAACGCUUGCUGUGUGCCUAAUACAUGCAUGUUGAACGGGAUGUUUUAGUUUACUAGAACAUUUAGUAGCGAAUGGGUGAGUAACACGUACCUAACCUACCUUUAGGAUUGGGAUAACUACUGGAAACAGUAGCUAAUACCGAAUAUAAUAUUUUUUCGCAUGAAGAAAUAUAGAAAGGAGCCUUUAAAGCUUCACCUAGAAAUGGGGGUGCGGAACAUUAGUUAGUUGGUGAGGUAAUGGCUCACCAAGACAAUGAUGUUUAGCGGGGCCAAGAGGUUGUACCGCCACACUGGGACUGAGAUACGGCCCAGACUCCUACGGGAGGCAGCAGUAAGGAAUUUUCCACAAUGAGCGAAAGCUUGAUGGAGCGACACAGCGUGCAGGAUGAAAUCCCUCGGGAUGUAAACUGCUGUUAUAAGGAAAGAAAAAAUCAAAUAGGAAAUGAUUUGAUCUUGACGGUACCUUAUUAGAAAGCGACGGCAAACUAUGUGCCAGCAGCCGCGGUAAUACAUAGGUCGCAAGCGUUAUCCGGAAUUAUUGGGCGUAAAGCGUCCGUAGGUUUUUUGUUAAGUUUAAGGUUAAAUACUGAAGCUCAACUUCAGCCCGCUUUAGAUACUGGCAAAAUAGAAUUAUGAAGAGGUUAGCGGAAUUCCUAGUGUAGCGGUGGAAUGCGUAGAUAUUAGGAAGAACACCAAUAGGCGAAGGCAGCUAACUGGUCAUACAUUGACACUAAGGGACGAAAGCGUGGGGAGCAAACAGGAUUAGAUACCCUGGUAGUCCACGCUGUAAACGAUGAUCAUUAGUUGGUGGUAUUAAAUCACUAACACAGCUAACGCGUUAAAUGAUCCGCCUGAGUAGUAUGCUCGCAAGAGUGAAACUUAAAGGAAUUGACGGGAACCCGCACAAGCGGUGGAGCAUGUGGUUUAAUUUGAAGAUACGCGUAGAACCUUACCCACUCUUGACAUCCUUGCAAAGCUAUAGAGAUAUAGUGGAGGUUAACAAGAUGACAGAUGGUGCAUGGUUGUCGUCAGCUCGUGUCGUGAGAUGUUAGGUUAAGUCCUGCAACGAGCGCAACCCCUUUCUUUAGUUACUAACGUGAAAGACGAGGACUCUAAAGAUACUGCCUGCGUAAGCCGGAGGAAGGUGGGGACGACGUCAAAUCAUCAUGCCUCUUACGAGUGGGGCAACACACGUGCUACAAUGGCUACUACAAAGAGACGCAAGACGGUGACGUUAAGCAAAUCUCAAAAAAGUAGUCCCAGUUCGGAUUGAAGUCUGCAACUCGACUUCAUGAAGUCGGAAUCGCUAGUAAUCGCAGAUCAGCUACGCUGCGGUGAAUACGUUCUCGGGUUUUGUACACACCGCCCGUCACACCAUGGGAGUUGGUAAUGCCCAAAGUCGGUGAGUUAACUUCGGAGACCAUUGCCUAAGGCAGGACUGAUGACUGGGGUGAAGUCGUAACAAGGUAUCCCUACGAGAACGUGGGGAUGGAACACCUCCUUUCUACGGAAUUACACAAUUUUAAUAUUUUAGAUAUUAAAAACUGUAAAAAUUAAUCUCCAUUUUAUUUUUUACAGUCAUUAUUAAAUUUUGUUUUUUUUAAAAUCCUAUAAAUUUAUUUUAAUUAAUUAAAUGGUAUGUAUCUAGUUUUGAGAGCUCUAAUGCUCUUAGUUCUUUGAAAACUGAAUAGUAUCAAAAAUAUGUAAUAAAUUUACAUAUUCCAAUGAUCUUAUUAAACAACCGAGUUAAAUCAAGUGAUUUAAUCAAUUUUAAUAGAUUACCAAUAUUAAAAUACCUUAAGAUAUUUAUCUUUAUGUAUAACAAUAGGCUAUACAAAAAGUUGUAUUAACUUUUUAAAUAAGUAAGAGUAUUUGGUGGAUGCCUUGGGUCUGAAAGUCGAAGAAGGACGUGAUUACCUGCGAUAAGCUUCGUGGAGCUGGAUAUAAGCUAUAAUACGGAGAUUUCCGAAUGGGGAAACCUAACUAAGCAAACCUUAGUUGCUAUUUAAUGAAUCCAUAGUUAAAUAAGCGAGACACGUUGUGAAUUGAAACAUCUUAGUAACAACAGGAAAAGAAAAUAAAUAAUGAUUUCCUUAGUAGCGGCGAGCGAAUGGGAAAGAGCCCAAACCACAUUAGUGGGGUUGUAGGACAUUUUAAUUGAGUUAUAAAGUUUUAUAAUAGUAGAAAAAGUUGGAAAGCUUUAACAUAGAAGGUGACAUUCCUGUAUACAAAAUUAUAAAACCUCAUAAAUGUAUCCUGAGUAGGGCGGGGCACGUGAAACCCUGUCUGAAUCUGCCGGGACCACCCGGUAAGGCUAAAUACUAAUCAGACACCGAU
rnacentral:rRNA from 2 species